AACGGACGCUGGCGGCAUGCCUAACACAUGCAAGUCGAACGAGACCUUCGGGUCUAGUGGCGCACGGGUGCGUAACGCGUGGGAACCUGCCCUUAGGUUCGGAAUAACUCCCCGAAAGGGGUGCUAAUACCGGAUAAUGUCUUCGGACCAAAGAUUUAUCGCCUUUGGAUGGGCCCGCGUUGGAUUAGCUAGUUGGUAGGGUAAAAGCCUACCAAGGCGACGAUCCAUAGCUGGUCUGAGAGGAUGAUCAGCCACACUGGGACUGAGACACGGCCCAGACUCCUACGGGAGGCAGCAGUGGGGAAUAUUGGACAAUGGGCGAAAGCCUAAUCCAGCAAUGCCGCGUGAGUGAUGAAGGCCUUAGGGUUGUAAAGCUCUUUUACCCGGGAUGAUAAUGACAGUACCGGGAGAAUAAGCUCCGGCUAACUCCGUG
rnacentral:rRNA from 1 species